UACAGAGGGUGCGAGCGUUAAUCGGAGUUACUGGGCGUAAAGGGCGCGUAGGCGGUUUAGCAAGUGUGAUGUGAAAGCCCCGGGCUUAACCUGGGAAGUGCAUCGCAAACGGCUAGACUAGAGUAGAUGAGAGGGUGAUGGAAUUUCCGGUGUAGCGGUGAAAUGCGUAGAGAUCGGAAGGAACGUCGAUGGCGAAGGCAGUCACCUGGCAUCAUACUGACGCUGAGGCGCGAAAGCGUGGGGAGCAAACAGG
rnacentral:rRNA from 1 species